GACGAACCGUGCGAACGUUGUUCGGAAUCACUGGGCUUAAAGGGCGCGUAGGCGGCUGUCAGAGUCGGGGGUGAAAUCGUUCGGCUUAACCGGACCACUGCCUUCGAUACCUGGCGGCUCGAGGGAGGUAGGGGCAGAGGGAACUUCCGGUGGAGCGGUGAAAUGUGUUGAUAUCGGAAGGAACGCCGGUGGCGAAGGCGGGUCUCUGGGCCGAUACUGACGCUGAGGAGCGAAAGCGUGGGGAGCGAACAGG
rnacentral:rRNA from 1 species